CUGACAAUCCUCUGGAGUUUUUUUAGCUCCUGUGUAGGGAGAUGCAACACCUCUGUGGAGGUCGUUGGCAAGAGAGGCGUCAAGAGGAAGGUCGCCACUGCUGAGGGAGGACAGAAAAAAAGCAGAAAAAGACAAAGGCUCGACAGCGAGGACCGGAAAAAAACCAAACAAGAAGAGUUAGAGGCCAAAUAUGAGCAACUGGAACUCCUCGGUGCGGGAGGAUGUUUGAAACGUGUACGCCGGCCACCGCAGGGCCGACAACCUACCCGUUGCCAUUAAACACAUCCCUAAUGAUGACGUCUACUGCACACAUGAGGACGACGAAGGGAACAAAAUUUCCAUUGAGAUCGCCAUCAUGUUGAAGCUGGCGGCCAAAUCGGAGGGGGCAUCGCCAUACCUUACCUUGCUGGACUGGUACCAGUUAGAGGAGGAGCUGGUGAUGGUAAUCGAGAGGCCCAUCCCCGCUACGGAUUUAUUUGACCAUAUCAUGGGCAAAGGAGGCUUCGUGAAGGAAAAAGAUGCCAAGAUCAUACUGAGGCAGCUUGUCGAUGCGGCGCUCGAUCUGGAGAACAAGAACAUUUUCCACCUGGAAAUAAACGUGGAGAACAUCCUGAUCGAGACAAGUUCGAAGGUCCCACAAGUUCGCGUUAUUGACUUUGGUCUGAGCUGUUACGACGAUAAAAAAAAAGACUUAUCAUGAGUUUUUCGGAACUACAUACUCCCCAGAGAUUCUCCUUAGCAAGGGGUACAAAUCAGGAUCCACCACAGUGUUUCAGAUUGGAGCGGUGCUGUUUAACACCGUCCACAAAUUCAAAAAAUUUGACCCGUUAGUUUUUUAUUUAAAGCGUCAAAAUCUCCCCCAAAGCAUCUCCAAGAACUGCCUCCAGAUGUGCCUGAGAAUUGACAAAGCAGAAAAAGACAAAGGCUGGACAGCGAGGACCAGAAAAAAACCAAACAAAAAGAGUUAGAGGCCAAAUAUGAGCAACUGGAACUCCUCGGUGCGGGAGGAUGUGAAAAUGUGUACGCCGGCCACCGCAGGGCCGACAACCUACCCGUAAGUGCAACAAACAAGAUGACGAUACAAGCUCAUCGUCCAACGAGAAUAUCCCAACACUCGUCAGAAUUUCGCGGGUCGAAAAACAAAGGCUCACGGUCGAUUUAGCGUCCACCUCAGCAGUCACUGGGAGAUGCAACACCUCUGUGGAGGUCGUUGGCAAGAGAGGCGUGAACAGGAAGGUCGCCGCUGCUGAGGGAGGCCAGAAAAAAAGCAGAAAAAGACUGGACAGCGAGGACCGGAAAAAAACCAAACAAGAAGAGUUAGAGGCCAAUAAUGAGCAACUGGAACUCCUCGGCGCGGGAGGAUUUGGAAACGUGUACGCCGGCCACCGCAGGGCCGACAACCUACCCGUAAGCGCUACACACACACACGUUCCCAAACGCACA